AUACGGAGGGUGCAAGCGUUACUCGGAAUCACUGGGCGUAAAGGACGCGUAGGCGGAUUGGAAAGUCAGAUGUGAAAUCCUACAGCUUAACUGUAGAACUGCAUUUGAAACUGCUAACCUAGAGUAUGGGAGGGGGAGAUGGAAUUAGUGGUGUAGGGGUAAAAUCCGUAGAUAUCACUAGGAAUACCGAAAGCGAAGGCGAUCUCCUGGAACAUGACUGACGCUAAGGCGUGAAAGCGUGGGGAGCAAACAGGAUUAGAAAACCUAGUAGUCC
rnacentral:rRNA from 1 species